UACGAAGGGGCUAGCGUUGCUCGGAAUCACUGGGCGUAAAGGGUGCGUAGGCGGGUCUUUAAGUCAGGGGUGAAAUCCUGGAGCUCAACUCCAGAACUGCCUUUGAUACUGAGGAUCUUGAGUUCGGGAGAGGUGAGUGGAACUGCGAAGUGUAGAGGUGAAAUUCGUAGAUAUUCGCAAGAACACCAGUGGCGAAGGCGGCUCACUGGCCCGAUACUGACGCUGAGGCACGGAAAGCGUGGGGAGCAAACAGG
rnacentral:rRNA from 1 species